AGCGGAAUAAUUGUCACGGUGGCCUCUGUCAGUGCUCCUCUCCCUCCCCUCUCUCUGUGCACCUGAAGAUUGGUACCAGCUGUGGACACUUUGCUCAUCACCUCACCGCCUUCUUAAGGGGAUCCAGACCAGCAGUCAUCGCCAGUCCGUUGCCUACCUCGGUUUCCAGAUCCACGAGUGUCCACCUGGGAGAUCUUCAGCUCGCUCCACACCAGCCUCGCCUCGAAGUCACGCCACGUUCCUCGCUUACCUUGUGUCCCAAGACAUCAGACAGUGCGCGGCGAUCCGCACCGCACGUCUCGCUCCGCUCCAGCCACGCCACGCUCUCAGCUUAGCUCUCAAGCCCCUACGAGCCACGCCGACUCCUCGCCAGAGAUCCAAGCCAGCACUAAGUAACAACCAGAACUGUUAUCUCCUGCCUGGAUAUUAAAGACUCUUUGUUAAUCGCUA